rnacentral:rRNA from 1 species
CGAACGCUGGCGGCGUGCUUAACACAUGCAAGUCGAACGAUGAAGAACCAGCUUGCUGGUUUGGAUUAGUGGCGAACGGGUGAGUAAUACGUGAGUAACCUGCCUUUAACUCUGGGAUAAGCCUUGGAAACGAGGUCUAAUACCGGAUACGACCAGUUCUCGCAUGGGAUGCUGGUGGAAAGGGUUUGUACUGGUUUUAGAUGGGCUCACGGCCUAUCAGCUUGUUGGUGGGGUAACGGCUCACCAAGGCGAUGACGGGUAGCCGGCCUGAUAGGGUGACCGGCCACGAC